GCUGCUUUUAAUAAAGAGUUGAUUAUCGGGGAAGGUCGAAGAAACCAUCAUUUAAAACAGUUCAGUGAGAAACUAGUUUUAGUGGAUCCAGCGGAAUUAGAAAUUCCAAUUAAGGAAGAAGAAUUGAAUAAUCGCUGUUCUGGUUUACGCUGUGGUCAGAAUACGUGGGCUCCGAGUGUAGCAGUUGAGCUACUCAAAGGCAAGUCUACACAGAUCAUCAUUAUCUCAGCUUUUCCGUCUACCUCCCAUGUGACAGAUGCUGUUAUCAAGGUUAUAAAGUGGACCUUCAAUCCAUUUUGUGUACUUUCUAAAAUCUGUAUGGAAUAGUUGGAGUUGUAAUCUAAAUGAACUGUAAGGUGGUGCCACCUGGUGUAUUAAAGGACAACUGUUACCAUUUUAGUCCAAACUUUUCACUUUGGUCUUCAGAAAAUCUAAUAUUCCUUAAAUAAAACCAUAAUUUUUUUGAUCUGCCAAAUCAUAUUAAAACUGUUAGGUGUCAUUUUGGAUGAGGUACAGACAUAAUAUUUGUAUAUGUGCAUUUCUUGGAUACUUUGUCUCUUUUAAUGAAUUAUUAAAAAAUUAUUUAUUUAAUUUAAUAUAUAACUAAACUUAUUUUGUUGUUCUGAUGUAUAUUUUACUUGUUAAUCUCCAAAAUCUUUUUUCAUUUAUACAUAUGACUAUUUUUUUUUAAUUCUUGUCUGUGUGUCUUGAUUGUAAUACUCUUUGUUUUUUAGUUCUUAAGGGUUGGAUUACUGUAAAAUGUAUUUUCAUAUAGACCGUCUACCUCAGUUUCAGUGUUAUACUUAUAGAUGCUAUUAAAGGCUCCCCUUUAAUUCUCCUUUUGAUAAUGUAGAAAUAUUCAUGCUAGGUUGAACCCCUGUGAAUUAGAUUGUUGGCUUGCUUUUCUAACUGACUAUGUGAGCUCUUGAAGCUCACCUUGUUUAAAGUUGGUUAAUAUAGUGUGUUCACUUAAGUAAUGGCUAACUUGUUUCCAUUGUGUUAAAAUCUACUUAAUUUGAAGUGUUUUUUGGAAGGUACUGAGUAUAGUUGCUUAAAAAACCAUCUUCCCUAACUUUGUACCAAGUCAGUUGCUUUUUUUAUUAAUCUGUAUUAUUGUGGCUCUGGUGUUAAAAUCUGUUUGAUUUUUUGUACGGAUUGAUUAUAUUAAGCAGAACUGAAUCUGAUCUCUCUUUCCUUCAUUCUUUUUUUUCCCUAAUAGUUUAUACAUGGCCCAAAUAUUCUUCAACCUUAUCAGUUAGUUAUAAAACUGAUUCUUUGAUCAAAUAAGUUCUUCAUUAACAGAAAAAUCAUCUAGAUGGCUAGGACUAAUUAGGUUACUGUUAUACAUCUGGAACAGAACCUGGGGUGUGACAUUUGUAUACUUUAUAAAAGCUAGAAAAUCUCCAGACUUAUUUUAACACGACAGGUAGAUGAACUGAUUGAGUCAUAAGGUUAAGGAGGUGAUUUUCCUCUGGAGUCUUAUAUAACCAAAGAAUCUACCUGGGACAAAAGUUGUUGUUUUUAAUGUAGCGUGAUUUCAUUUAAUAAGAACAAUACAUUUGAGAUGGAGAUGCAGAGUGAAGUGUAUUUUAUUUAUUAUUAAAUAUUUAGGUUUUACUUAACAAUGAGCUGAAGGAUUGUUUUUUUUUUCAUUAGUUGUAAGUAGUUAUAAUCUUUGUAUAACAUAUUGUUGCGAGGAGCCCAGUAUUCCACAGAUCGUUCUACACAUGACCACUGUUUUAAGAAGGGUUAAGUUUGCAUCUACACUGCUACUAACUGGUUUGUGUGCAAUGGAAAUCUUAUUUCUGGAUUGGCUUUGAGUUUUUUGCCCUGAUGAUAAUUUUAUCCAUUCUAAGACAAACUGAGUUUCUACUGGGCAUUGUGAUAUUCCACAACUAUCCUAAUGCCUGAGACUGUUUAUUUUGUAGUAGACAUCGUGGUUUUUAUCAUACUUAAAGGCUUUGAUGCCAUCCCUUUAGCAGUGGGGCAUUCUGUAACUUUAAUCAUGGCUGGGGCUGUUCAUGUCGAACACACAGUGAGUGGAUGAACAGUAAGUACGUUUUAAGAGAUUGAAUGCUAAUGUUUAUAAUAUUAUAUCUGUGGACAAUCAAAUAAAGAAGAUCUAGAUAUAAAAAUUGGUUCAAAAUUAAAACUCCUGUGAUUUUUUAAUUCUUAGGUAAAGCUUUUGAGUGUUUUGAAUGUAUAAAGUGUUUUUUCUCUGAAGAAAUGUUCUUUUGAUUAGAUGUCCAAAUCAAAAGUUUGACGAGAUGUUUUUCUGUUUGCUUGAUCCUUAUGCACAUGGUGAUGUUGUUUUAAUUAUGAAUAGUACCAUCACAAAAAAAAUGUUAAAGAACUCAAAGCUAUGCCUUAAAAGUUGUAAUAAUAAAUAAGUUAUAAUUGGCUAACUUUUUUAUUGGCGUGUAUUAAAUUCAAUAACAUUAAUAGUUUUUAAUAAAAUUAUUUUUCUCAUGACUAGAUAUUUAUAAAUGCAUUAGUAAUUAUGUGUACGUGGUUAAUGACAAUCUGAGAAAUAGAAUAGUAGGGUGAAAUAUUUUUACAAUAUACAGAUCUAGUAACAAAUCUUAUGAUUAAAGUUGUUUAUUCUUGAAACAUGUUGCACAAUUUGAAAUGUUUGUUUAUUUCUUCUUCUGAUCAGAGGCAUUUAUUUACUUGUAAGUAUGGCAAACCAUCCAAAUCAUUAAGUGUUAUAUGUGUGUAAAAAAAAGGGGGGGGGAUGUAUAAAUACUAUGUUGGCAUAACAUGAAUAUAAUAAUACAUGAAUGAGCUGCUUGAACUUUUUGGUCAUUUUCAGUGACACGGGUCCCUCAGUGGGACAGCGGUAAAUUUACAACCUUACAUCACCAAAAUCUGGGUGGACACAGCAGAUAGCCUAAUGUGGCUUUGUUCUGAAACAAACAAUAAAAUAUUUGUUUACAUUCUUUGUAAUGAUUUUAAGGUUGUAUCUGUACAAGAUAACCUACUUUUGAUGUAUGUUUAAUUUGUAUAAACUUUACACAUCAUGAAAGCUAUGUUUCAUCCCUUGAUUCUAUUCCAAUAAUUGCUGUUUAAUAGUUUAACAUUCCAAUGGCAAGGUUAGCUGAACACUGGAAAAUACCUUGGAAUAAAUCCAAGUUGUAAACCCAGAAAAACCGGUUUUUGAUAUCCUUAGUGAGCAAAUCACAGAUAACCCAUUGUGUAGCUUUGUGCUUAACAACAACAACAAAAAAAUUAUAUCAAUUCUAAAUGUAACUAAUUAAUAUUUUUUAUUGUUUCAGUAGACUUUGUUCAUCUUUAUACAUUCGUUGCUAAAUUUAUUUCACCUCCUUUUUUUUUGUUACAUUGUUCUGUAGAGAAACUUGGUUAUUCGAGUUUCACCCUAAAUCCAAUUUGUUAUUACUAUAUUUUUGUUUUCAGUUUUUAUGAGUGUUUUAUGAUCAGAAACAAAUUGUUUGUGAAUUGUGCGGUUAAAACGCCUUACAUUCUUGUAUACAUAUACCCUUUUAGCUCUAUUUUUAUAUUAGUUUUGAAAUAUCAGCAUAGCUAACAAUUUGGAAUGUAUUGCUUGAGCAUAUUUUAUCUUUUUUGUCAUGUAAUAACGUUUAUCAUACUGAUAUAUCUGCUAGAAUUAUUAACAUGGAAUACAAGUAAUUUGUAUUCCAAAGGAUCGUUUAAUUUAUUACAUCAAUAAAAGAUUUUUUUAAAUGA